UACAGAGGUCCCAAGCGUUGUUCGGAUUCACUGGGCGUAAAGGGUGCGUAGGUGGCCAGGUAAGUUUGAUGUGAAAGCUCGGAGCUUAACUCCGAAAUGGCAUUGAAUACUAUCUGGCUUGAGGGUCGGAGGGGAGACUGGAAUUCGUCGGUGUAGCAGUGAAAUGCGUAGAUAUCGAGAGGAACACCAGUGGCGAAGGCGAGUCUCUGGACGACACCUGACACUGAGGCACGGAAAGCUAGGGGAGCAAACAGG
rnacentral:rRNA from 1 species